AAAAAUUUUGGACUUGGGCCUCUCUCAUUUGAGCCCACAGGUCCACAAAAACCAGGUUAUAAAUUCAGAGUUUCAGUGAAACAAAAGGUCAAAUUCUAUUCCUAUUACUCUGGCAGGGAAAAAGAUAGUGAGAGAAGAGCUAACAGAGUUCAGAGCAACCUCCAGAGACUGAAGGGAACUCAUCGGUAAAGAACCAAAUCCAUCUCAUAUAAACCCUCAGAUUGCUUUGCAAACCCAACCGGGCGAU
rnacentral:lncRNA from 1 species